rnacentral:rRNA from 1 species
AGAGGUUAGUGGCGGACUGGCCAGUAACACGUAAGUAACCUGCCUAUCAGAGGGGAACAACAGUUAGAAAUGACUGCUAAUACCGCAUAUGCCAUAACCAUCGCAUGGUGGAAGUGGGAAAGGAGAAAUCCGCUGAUAGAUGGACUUGCGACUGAUUAGAUAGUUGGUGGGGUAAAGGCCUACCAAGUCGACGAUCAGUAGCCGAACUGAGAGGUUAAACGGCCACAUUGGGACUGAGAUACGGCCCAGACUCCUACGGGAGGCAGCAGUCGGGAAUAUUGCGCAAUGGAGGAAACUCUGACGCAGUGACGCCGCGUGCAGGAAGAAGGUUUUCGGAUUGUAAACUGCUUUAGACAGGGAAGAAAAAAGACAGUACCUGUAGAAUAAGCUCCGGCUAACUACGUGCCAGCAGCCGCGGUAAUACGUAGGGAGCGAGCGUUAUCCGGAUUUAUUGGGUGUAAAGGGUGCGUAGACGGGAAGUUAAGUUAGUUGUGAAAUCCCAAGGCUCAACUUUGGAACUGCAACUAAAACUAAUUUUCUUGAGUACUGGAGAGGAAAGUGGAAUUCCUAGUGUAGCGGUGAAAUGCGUAGAUAUUAGGAGGAACACCAGUGGCGAAGGCGACUUUCUGGACAGAAACUGACGUUGAGGCACGAAAGUGUGGGGAGCAAACAGGAUUAGAUACCCUGGUAGUCCACA